GGGGAUUUAGCUCAGCGGCAUAAGCACCUGCCUUGCAAGCAGGAAGUCGUGAGUUCGAUCCCCG
rnacentral:tRNA from 1 species